ACGGAAGGCAGCAGUGGGGGAUAUUGCACAAUGGGGGAAACCCUGAUGCAGCGACGCCGCGUGAGGGAAGAAGGUCUUCGGAUUGUAAACCUCUGUCUUCGGGGACGAACACAAUGACGGUACUCGAGGAGGAAGCCACGGCUAACUACGUGCCAGCAGCCGCGGUAAAACGUAGGUGGCAAGCGUUGUCCGGAAUUACUGGGUGUAAAGGGAGCGCAGGCGGAGCUGUAAGUUGGGCGUCAAAUCUACGGGCUUAACCCGUAUCCGCGCUCAAAACUGUGGCUCUUGAGUAGUGCAGAGGUAGGUGGAAUUCCCGGUGUAGCGGUGGAAUGCGUAGAUAUCGGGAGGAACACCAGUGGCGAAGGCGGCCUACUGGGCACCAACUGACGCUGAGGCUCGAAAGUAUGGGUAGCAAACAGGAUUAGAUACCCUGGUA
rnacentral:rRNA from 1 species